GCUAUUUGUUAUGCUCCACAAACGCGCCUGAUCUUGUCUGAUCUCGGAAGCUAAGCAGGGUCGGGCCUGGUUAGUACUUGGAUGGGAGAGUCAAUGAGUUAUUUAUCU
rnacentral:rRNA from 1 species